GCUGCUGCGCAGACGGUCGCAGGUUCGAUUCCCUCUGCGGAGGCUGCAAGAGCGCCCGUGUAUACCACGCACUGCAUGCAUGUCGAUGGUGGUAAAAAGUAAUCUUGGCAUAUUGGAUACGGCGUUCAACAUAACAAGAGCGUUGUGUGGCAUGUAAAGUCCGCUGAAUUCCUUUUUUUUUUUUUGAGUAAGCUUGCCGGAAGUAGGCUUUGCUUGACAACAUCCGCCCACUCAGUUUGCAAAUGGCGUUCGAACAGCGGAGGGCGUCGGUCCGCAACCUUGCCUUCAUGGAUGUAAGCACUGAUUUUUGUGCGCGUUUUAACGGUGUGUUACGAGAAGACAAAUCGGCGGCAUCAGCGCAAGGCGAAACGAGCACUAAGAAAGCUGCGGAUUCCAGCCGGCGUUUGUGUAAGGAGGGCCUAGGCACUACCGGCCAUGGGCGGGAACCAGACGCCGACGGGCAUUACCGUGGCUCGUGGUUCGAACAAUGCGGGAACGGACAGCCGGGCCAAGCUACGUUUCCCAGCAGAAGAGGCAUCAACUUUGUCGAAGGCGGCACAAAAUUGGCUAAAGGAAUGCUGACUGCCCGUGCAUCUAGGACUUCCCGUGGCUCGUGGUUCGAAAACCGGGGGAACGAACAGUCGAGCCAAGUUCCGUUUUCCAGGUGACGAGAGAUCGACAUGGUCGUGUGCUCGACGCAUCUGCUGGACAAAGACUAUGCUGGUCUUUAUUGCGUCAUCACCGGGACAUGAGUCAGGGCAACACGGUGGUCUACUGUACGAGUCAGGCUGGCAAGACAGAGCGAGCUUGAGCCCAUCCAGUGAAGUAGCGCAUCAAGGACAGGGGAGGAAGAAAGUUGCAGACGUGCUUUGCCUAAAAAGGCGGCUCCCUGUCUUGCUGCCUGCACUGCGGACCUGGUGGCCAGGCCUUCGAGCACGAUGGUGUCUGGCAGCCUGCCCUGCUAACCUGGUGGCCAGCUGUUUGAGCAGCUUGUUGUCUUGAACCCCACCCUGUGGAUCUACUGACCAGCUGAUCCAACGACAUGGUACCUCGGUGUCCGCCCUGCUGACCUGGUUUCCAGCUAUUCUAGCUGAUUGAUGUCUUGCUACGCACCCUGCAGUCUUGGUGCUCAGCUGUUCUCGUCUCCUCCUAGGCUGCUGAUCGCAAGAACACGCGUUCGUUAAGGAAUCACAGGAGAGUCCCGUGGCUCGUGGUUCGAACAACGCGGGGACGGACAGCCGGGCCAAGCUACGUUUCCCAGCAGACGAGCCUACAAGACGCUGCUCAUAUUUCUUUUCGCCUGUUUGAACUUAAUUUUAUCUGGACGUACAAGUUAAUAGUGAAUGCAUCACCACGGGAAGUAACAAGGACCACAAUUUUCUCAAGGAGGGCUGACAAAAGAGAUGAUUGAUACACAAGCUGCCUACGUCAAAUCAUAAGAAGCUCAACGGUCACCAUAAUGACAGCAGAUCCCCUUGAACUAUGUUGUUGGACGAUGUGCCUCGCCAUGAAAUGUUUGCAAGUUUACCACACAGAGGGGUGUGAGCCCUGUCAGGAAAGCAGCAGUCUAGAGUUUUGUAUCGUACCAGGCGGGAAUGCUAAAAUUUGACAUACAAGCUUGCUUGCUUUUAAUGUUGUUUUAUGACACAUGGAGAAGGAAUUAACACGUUGAGUCGCAACUUUUCUUUUCCCACUCAUCAGAACCAUGACAACCAGAACAGAACAAAAUAUCAUGAUCGUAUUUGCUAUUGCACAAACUCUUUCAUCUGCUCUUUGCAAAUCAGCUUGGCAGGUAAUACCGCUAACUAUACAUGCUUCAGAAAAUUUUAAGCUGCACGAGGAAGACAGGACGUGAACAGAAAUGUAGACGCAUACACAGUUUAAAAUUCGCGCAGUUUAAUUGUGUUCUGCAUCUAUGAACCAUCCAGCCCAACAACAUGCCUUACUUCAGUAUCACAUGCUCCCUUACAACGAUAAUUUGUUACAUGAGAAUGCAAGUAAAUUUAAAACGGUGAGAAGCGCUCAUUGCAAUUUCGAUGAAAUCACACUUCACGGUGACUGAAUCUUUGGUAGUGACUCUUGCAUGGUUCAUGAGCAGUUAGCUUGAAAUAAGUAACUAGGCUAGCUAUGCACAGUAAGAUAGGAGAUGCUAAAAAAGGCAAGCUCACACAACCGAUCUACUUCACAUUUAAAGAACAUGACAAAUCACUAUACAUAAUUUUUCCUUCUUUUCAAACAGCAGAUGAUGAACCGGAGCACAGUAUGUUCGCAGAAAGUUCUUGAAAUAUACUCGAAGAAUAGCAAGUUUCGCUUAACAUUUAGCCAAUCAACAGAGGACGAGUAAGGGAAGUUUCAGUGUGGGAACUUGCCUUUGUCAUACAGUCGAGAGUAUGAUGGAAGCCCGUCUGGCCAGGAUGACGCAUACUUAAAAGGAAAAAGUCCGGACACUGACCAAAAUGGCUUAAAAUAAUGUUUACGUGUUCGAUUGUGAUGAUCUUGAACAAUGCUCCCGCGGGUGAGCCGAAAUGUAAAUACAUAUUUUAGACCAUUUUAAUCGGUGUCCGGGCCUCUUCCUUUUAAGUUUGCCAUGGCCAUCGCAAAUAUCUUUGCUUGUUGAAACGUGGCUCCAGGCUGAGGCUUCCCUUGCUCACCUCGGUUAUUCAGUUGAAGUUUUCAUCUCCUUGCAGCCUCUUUGCCAUGUUUGAAUAUAUAAACCGAGAUUUUCGUUUUACAACAUGAAACCGCAAAUUGCAUGUUCGAAGCAUCUGCGAUCAUUAAUUGGGCUUGAUUAUGUGUUUAUUUAGUCUUCUUGUUCAUACUUUUUGCAGGGCACUGUUGUCUACAUAAGGUUCGUUGCGAGUACUCAACUUGUAUCAAAGCCUUUACUGCCGCACCUCAACACUAAAUGUGCCGCUGAAAUAGCAAGAUCGCACGAUAUGUGCUAGAAAAUUUAGCAUAACUUUUUUGUCAUUUUCCUGCACUGCGUGCCUCUCGCCAAUGUAUUAUGUAAAGAAUGGGACAAAAUUGCAGCGCGAGCGGGGUAACUUUUCUUUUUUUUUAUUCUAGCUGAAAUCAUCGAACGCAGAUUAUACACGUGUAGUGUGAAACAUCUCAAGGAGCACAGCACGUAACUACAGUGCAAGGAUAGCCCGGCAUAAAUAUCGUUGUGUGAAGCUUCG